rnacentral:piRNA from 1 species
UAGAAGAAAAAUUGUUUCUAGGUAUGUCU